rnacentral:rRNA from 1 species
CAGUCGAGCGGACAGAUGGGAGCUUGCUCCCUGAUGUUAGCGGCGGACGGGUGAGUAACACGUGGGUAACCUGCCUGUAAGACUGGGAUAACUCCGGGAAACCGGGGCUAAUACCGGAUGGUUGUCUGAACCGCAUGGUUCAGACAUAAAAGGUGGCUUCGGCUACCACUUACAGAUGGACCCGCGGCGCAUUAGCUAGUUGGUGAGGUAACGGCUCACCAAGGCGACGAUGCGUAGCCGACCUGAGAGGGUGAUCGGCCACACUGGGACUGAGACACGGCCCAGACUCCUACGGGAGGCAGCAGUAGGGAAUCUUCCGCAAUGGACGAAAGUCUGACGGAGCAACGCCGCGUGAGUGAUGAAGGUUUUCGGAUCGUAAAGCUCUGUUGUUAGGGAAGAACAAGUGCCGUUCAAAUAGGGCGGCACCUUGACGGUACCUAACCAGAAAGCCACGGCUAACUACGUGCCAGCAGCCGCGGUAAUACGUAGGUGGCAAGCGUUGUCCGGAAUUAUUGGGCGUAAAGGGCUCGCAGGCGGUUUCUUAAGUCUGAUGUGAAAGCCCCCGGCUCAACCGGGGAGGGUCAUUGGAAACUGGGGAACUUGAGUGCAGAAGAGGAGAGUGGAAUUCCACGUGUAGCGGUGAAAUGCGUAGAGAUGUGGAGGAACACCAGUGGCGAAGGCGACUCUCUGGUCUGUAACUGACGCUGAGGAGCGAAAGCGUGGGGAGCGAACAGGAUUAGAUACCCUGGUAGUCCACGCCGUAAACGAUGAGUGCUAAGUGUUAGGGGGGUUUCCGCCCCUUAGUGCUGCAGCUAACGCAUUAAGCACUCCGGCCUGGGGAGUA